rnacentral:rRNA from 1 species
CGCGAAACCUUUACACUGCACGCCAGUGCGAUAAGGGGAYUCCSGAGUGCGAGGGCAUACAGUCCUCGCUUUUGUGUACCGUAAGGAGGUACACGAAUAAGGGCUGGSCAAGACCGGUSCCAGCCGCCGCGGUAAUACCGGCAGCCCAAGUGAUGACCGCUAUUAUUGGGCCUAAAGCGUCCGUAGCCGGCCGGGUAAGUCCGUCGGGAAAUCCGCGCGCCUAACGCGCGGGCGUCCGGUGGAAACUGCCCGGCUUGGGACCGGAAGAUCCAGAGGGUACGUCCGGGGUAGGAGUGAAAUCCUGUAAUCCUGGACGGACCACCGGUGGCGAAAGCGCUCUGGAAGGACGGAUCCGACGGUGAGGGACGAAAGCUAGGGUCACGAACCGGAUUAGAUACCCGGGUAGUCCUAGCCGUAAACGAUGUCUGCUAGGUGUGGCACAGGCUACGAGCCUGUGCUGUGCCGUAGGGAAGCCGUGAAGCAGACCGCCUGGGAAGUACGUCCGCAAGGAUGAAACUUAAAGGAAUUGGCGGGGGAGCACUACAACCGGAGGAGCCUGCGGUUUAAUUGG